AUUGAACGCUGGCGGCAGGCCUAACACAUGCAAGUCGAGCGGAUGAAGGGAGCUUGCUCCUGGAUUCAGCGGCGGACGGGUGAGUAAUGCCUAGGAAUCUGCCUGGUAUUGGGGGAUAACGUCCUGAAACGGGCGCUAAUACCGCAUACGUCCUUAGGGAGAAAGUGGGGGAUCUUCGGACCUCACGCUAUCAGAUGAGCCUAGGUCGGAUUAGCUAGUUGGUGGGGUAAAGGCCUACCAAGGCUACGAUCCGUAACUGGUCUGAGAGGAUGAUCAGUCACACUGGAAGUGAGACACGGUCCAGACUACUACGGGAGGCAGCAGUGGGGAAUAUUGGACAAUGGGCGAAAGCAUGAUCCAGCCAUGCCGCGUGUGUGAAGAAGGUCUUCGGAUUGUAAAGCACUGUAAGUUGGGAGGAAGGGCAGUAAGUUAAUACCUUGCUGUUGUGACGUUACCAACAGAAUAAGCACCGGCUAACUACGUG
rnacentral:rRNA from 1 species